CCUUGUAAGAGGCCGGGCAGGUCUCAAGGCCAUAUAUUCCUGAUAUAUUCCAAAUUAACUUCCGCUGGCUUCCCUCAUACUCUGCACUGCAGACCAAGCCGAAGCGUGCAGAAGGGUCCACCGCCGUGCUCCAGUCCACGUCCUCCACAAAUCCUGAUUCAGUGAUCUUUUUAAACUGAAAAGCUACCUCUCCCCCUCGUCCUCAAAGCCGAUGGAGGUUGUCAAGACUGACUAUUCUGUAUGGUGAGUCCUCGGCUUCCACUGUUAUUCAGCUUAUUGGAACUGACAGCUUUGCUCCUCCGAGCCUUUCCACCACGAUGUUCCUGCCUUGCAGCCAGCUGCCCGUGGACUGAACCAAAUCUCUCCUUCGUUAAGUUGAUCCUCAGGAGAAGGACAGACCUGCCCUCCUCGACUUCAGAGCGUUCUUGGCAGUACCAGUGGGGGCUGAAGCACAAUGCACACCCAGAGCAGACGGGGCCAGGAGAGGUUUCAAGCUGCAGAAGUUGGGACAGAACCCGCCGCCACCCAGAGCCGGGACAUUGAGAAAACAGCGCCCACAGCUACGUCCAUCCCAAGGACAGAGGAAGCGGAGUGGGGAGCAGGCAAAGGGCCAACUCUUCACACACUUCUUGGGAAGACAGAUCAUUCUUACAAAGAAGCGCUAAGCCUCCACCCAGUUCUAGAGCGUCAGACUAGAGGCCCUCUUUGUCUCUCUGCUGACAGCCUUCACUGCUGCCUGACUCACUCUCCCAAAGCAAUAGCAGGGUUUCCUGCCAUCAGGGAGACAUCACAACAUCACAAUGACUAAUUUUGAUCCAAAAUACCUUCUUCACUCUGAGGGAGGGGAAGAGGUCAUCACCACGUGGGCAUGCCAAGAGAUGAACGCAGCUACAGGAGUGGAUUUGCUUUGCUCUCUUUGGCCUUGAUAUGUUAGGGGUAGAGAUUGCAGCGGAUAGGAAAGCCCUUUAACCAACUCCAAGGAGAUGACUUUUUGACUCACAGAGCUCCUGAUCCCCACC